rnacentral:rRNA from 1 species
UACGGAGGGUGCAAGCGUUGUCCGGAAUCACUGGGCGUAAAGGGCGCGUAGGCGGCUCAUGAAGGCUGUGGUGAAAGUCCGGGGCUCAACCUCGGAUCGGCCGUGGCGACUCGUGGGCUGGAGCACUGUAGAGGCGGGUGGAAUUCCGGGUGUAGCGGUGGAAUGCGUAGAGAUCCGGAAGAACACCAGUGGCGAAGGCGGCUCACUGGCCCGGUACUGACGCUGAGGUACGAAAGCGUGGGGAGCAAACAGG